rnacentral:rRNA from 1 species
UACGGGGGGGGCAAGCGUUGUUCGGAAUUACUGGGCGUAAAGGGCUCGUAGGCGGCCAACUAAGUCAGACGUGAAAUCCCUCGGCUUAACCGGGGAACUGCAUCUGAUACUGGAUGGCUUGAGUUUGGGAGAGGGAUGCGGAAUUCCAGGUGUAGCGGUGAAAUGCGUAGAUAUCUGGAGGAACACCGAUGGCGAAGGCAAUCCCCUGGGCCUGCACUGACGCUCAUGCACGAAAGCGUGGGGAGCAAACAGG